rnacentral:sRNA from 1 species
UAAGAAAUUGGAAAGUUGAAGAUAACAUUUGGAUAGAGCAUGCCAGGUGGUUCCCCAAGUGUAAAUAUGUGAUCGACACAUUAGGAAAACCAUUUAUCGAUAUGGUUUCGGAUCUGAAUAGCAAAUAUGACCAAAUUGAUCUGAACAUGGUUCUUCAAAAUCUGAGCCAAGAUUAUUGUGAACAUUUCCCAGUUCUAAGCGAAUUGUGGGAUACGUUGUAUGACAAGAAACAGACUUCAGCUUCUUACCAUGACAAUAUUUCCACUGAAGAAGGUAG